rnacentral:rRNA from 1 species
UACGUAGGCAGCGAGCGUUGUUCGGAGUUACUGGGCGUAAAGCGUGCGUAGGCGGUUUUCUAAGUUUGGUGUGAAAUCUCCCGGCUCAACUGGGAGGGUGCGCCGAAGACUGGGAGACUGGAGUGUGGGAGAGGUAGGCGGAAUUCCUGGUGUAGCGGUGAAAUGCGCAGAUAUCAGGAAGAACACCCGUGGCGAAGGCGGUUCUCUGGGACGGUACUGACGCUGAGACGCGAAAGCGUGGGGAGCGAACAGG